rnacentral:rRNA from 1 species
UACGUAGGGGGCAAGCGUUGUCCGGAUUUAUUGGGCGUAAAGAGCGUGUAGGCGGCCUGACAAGUCUGCUGUGAAAACUCGAGGCUCAACCUCGAGAUGUCGGCGGAAACUGUCUGGCUAGAGUCCGGAAGAGGAGAGUGGAAUUCCUGGUGUAGCGGUGAAAUGCGCAGAUAUCAGGAGGAACACCGAUUGCGAAGGCAGCUCGCUGGGACGUAACUGACGCUGAGACGCGAAAGCGUGGGGAGCAAACAGG